rnacentral:rRNA from 1 species
CGAACGGGUGAGUAAUGCGUGACCAACCUGCCCCAUGCUCCAGAAUAGCUCUUGGAAACGGGUGGUAAUGCUGGAUGCUCCAACUUGACGCAUGUCUUGUUGGGAAAGUGUUUAGUGGCAUGGGAUGGGGUCGCGUCCUAUCAGCUUGUAGGCGGGGUAAUGGCCCACCUAGGCUUCGACGGGUAGCCGGCCUGAGAGGGCGGACGGCCACAUUGGGACUGAGANACGGCCCAGACUCCUACGGGAGGCAGCAGGU